rnacentral:rRNA from 1 species
UACGUAGGCGGAAAAUUAAGUCAGUAGUGAAAUCCUGCAGCUUAACUGUAGAACUGUUAUUGAUACUGGUUUUCUUGAAUAUAGCUGAGGUAGGCGGAAUGUGUAAUGUAGCGGUGAAAUGCUUAGAUAUUACACAGAACACCGAUUGCGAAGGCAGCUUACUAAGCUAUGAUUGACGCUGAGGUACGAAAGCGUGGGGAGCGAACAGGAUUAGAUACCCUGGUAGUCC